rnacentral:rRNA from 1 species
UACAGAGGGGGCAAGCGUUGUUCGGAAUUACUGGGCGUAAAGGGCGCGUAGGCGGCCGCCUAAGUCAGACGUGAAAUCCCUCGGCUCAACCGGGGAACUGCGUCUGAUACUGGGUGGCUUGAAUCCGGGAGAGGGAUGCGGAAUUCCAGGUGUAGCGGUGAAAUGCGUAGAUAUCUGGAGGAACACCGGUGGCGAAGGCGGCAUCCUGGACCAACACUGACGCUGAGGAGCGAAAGCCAGGGGAGCAAACGGG